rnacentral:lncRNA from 1 species
UUUUCUUUUUCCCCUAUUUAGUUAAAUAGAUAUAUAUAAGCAAAUCAACAAAAAUAAGAUAACGCAUAAGGCUUUCCUCUUUAAUUCCUUUCACUCGUAAUUUAUUCAAUUGAAACACAAAACAUUACAAACGUGAAUUUCCAAUGAGUGUACAGAAAACAGGCCUACAACCUAAAGAAACCAAGUUGUUUCUUUUUUGAAUUAAUGAAUAACAUGAACAUAUUACUCCAAGACGAACCAAUUUACUGAUCAGACUUCUUCUGACUCAGUACAAAAGAUAAAGUUCAGAGCUUCAUAGGCAUAUAUGGUGACUUAAUUGGUGAUCUUCAACAACCACAACGGGUACAACAGGUACCUGGGGGUGUUGGUUCACAACACCCCACACAGUGAAGACAUGCAACAGGAAAACUGCUUCUCCCCGAUAAUACUGCAUAUAUGCGAACAAGAAAAAACAAGUGUUAAUGGCAAUUAUGUACGUAUACCUAUUGCUUAUAUGUUAAAUCCGCCUCAGUCUAGAUUCAUAAUAUUAAUGACACAAAAGUUUUCGAAUUUGAUAACGUGUCUAGUAGUACUAUAUAUGUUUAAUAAAUGAACGUAAAAUAUACCUCGAGGGGCUCUAGCUGCAUCACAUGACGAUAGUAGCAAAGGAGAGAGGAGAAUAGCAUAUAUCAUAAGUGUUAUCACUACGGACCUUACGGAGGUUGAGAGUGCAGCCAUUGCUUAACCUAUACAAUAUACUAUAUGAAAGUACCAACAAUUUUGAGAAUGUUUUAAGAGUUGAUGAAUUUCGAGCACUGCCUAUGGAAGUAUUUAUAUGAAUUAUGACGUUGUACACAGGGUUUAAUUUAUACUCAAUCUUAAAUAUUAUUCUGAUGAUAUCAUUCAAUAUAUACAUUGUUUUGGUACUUAUGAUACUUGGUAUGAAACCGUCGAC